AGAGCGGGGUAAUUGCAGCACCGCUGCAAAGAUUUCUGCUCUCCAACCUCUCACACAUCAUUGCAGAAGGAUGGGAAGAUAGGGAACAGGGAUCUGUUUGCUGGCUUUAACUGCACGGAUCUGGAGGCUCAGAUGAUUCCUCACACUCUCACAGCAUCUGUCUGUCAGCCCAGUGCCUCUGAUGAUAAAGCGUCCUGCUCCAGCCACAGGAGCUCGUCUUUCAGUGAGACGGAGUGUCU